rnacentral:rRNA from 1 species
UGGGGAAUAUUGGACAAUGGGCGCAAGCCUGAUCCAUCCAUGCCGCGUGAGUGAUGAAGGCCCUAGGGUUGUAAAGCUCUUUCACCGGUGAAGAUAAUGACGGUAACCGGAGAAGAAGCCCCGGCUAACUUCGUGCCAGCAGCCGCGGUAAUACGAAGGGGGCUAGCGUUGUUCGGAUUUACUGGGCGUAAAGCGCACGUAGGCGGACUAUUAAGUCAGGGGUGAAAUCCCGGGGCUCAACCCCGGAACUGCCUUUGAUACUGGUAGUCUUGAGUUCGAGAGAGGUGAGUGGAAUUCCGAGUGUAGAGGUGAAAUUCGUAGAUAUUCGGAGGAACACCAGUGGCGAAGGCGGCUCACUGGCUCGAUACUGACGCUGAGGUGCGAAAGCGUGGGGAGCAAACAGG